AUCAGUACAAGCAUUUUGAGAAUUCGGAUGAAUGGGAAAGAUGCUUUUCAGGCAGGCAACUUCAAUAAGGCACUCAAAAUAUACACUGAAGGAUUAGCAAAUUGUUCACAUAAACGAGACUUCAAAAAUGAAGCAAUAUUGUAUACAAACAGGGCAACUGUACAUAAUAAGCUUAAACAACAUGAAAUGGCAUUAAAAGAUGCAGAAACUGCUAUUCAAGCUGAUCCAACAUGGCAUAAGGGAUACUGGAGAAAAGGAAAAGAACUUUGUAUUCUGCGCAAAUACGAUGAUGCAUUUGAAACUUUUCUAUGUGGAUUUGAAGUCAUUUGGCGAGUAUGUGAUGUGAAAGAUAAAAUUGAUUUGAUCAUUGGUGCAGUUAUUGCUUUUCCUAAUAUACGAGAUAAACAUAAAGAAGCUAGAUAUACGCAGUUGGGUAAACAAUGUUUUAUCCAAUUUUGGCCUGAUGUACUUAAUCGAUUAUCAAAAGAGUCUGAAUGGAUAGGGAUCAGAUAUCUGAUUUUAGGAUUGAACAUCGAAAUCAAACCAGAUA